ensembl:lncRNA
GUUAAGUAGGUUUCAUGUUUAUAUUUUUAAUCAGAAACUUUCUGACUUUGACUCAGUUCAUGCAUUUUUCAUGGACUUUCUGAUUCUAAUGUUUUUACUGUAAAAGUGCCUUCGGAUGGUUGUUGUUUCCUGGUGCUUCAUGAAUAAUCUUGAAGUGAAACUGAAUAAUGUGAGCUGGACUCAAACAUACCUCACUGAGCACAUGUGUAAACUGGAUCUAAGCGAGAUGGAAACCUGCUUACUGAAUCACUUUGACUCUGAAACUGUAACGAGAUAUAACUGUCAUUAUAUAACAAGUUUAUACAGCUGUAGUCUCUUGAUGCUACGAACAGAAAACAAAAAAUAAAUAACUUGGUCAUAAAAAGGUGUCGGUGUAACUGGCUCAACCAGGACUUUGCACGAGGGCUCAGACAGCUGUGUUCAUGGUCGUACCUCAGUAUUUACAGAGUCAGUGACCAAUCUAGGACUGGUUCUAUGUUCCCACCAGGAAAAGAAAACGACUCACGUUUUCCAUCAGACAUCUUUGUGAAACCCACAGAAGCACACGAGAAGAUCAAGUGAGACCAAAGUUUAUUGAACCUGCAGAGAAACCAGAUCACUGCUGUGGAGACGACAGCACACUUAGAAAUAACAUAAAUAACAGCAAAGCUACUGAAGACAUGAAAACAUGGAUUACAUCUACAUUUUAGUUACAUACCAUUUAUUAUUGUUUAUGUGUAAAUUAUGUCUCGGUCAUGCUUUUAUUCUGAAAGGCCUGGUGAAGAAUUGUUCCCUCAAGUAUGAAAAGUAAAUAAAAUCUUUAUGGUAACAUUCUUCUUCUGCUUCUUUAUAAAAGAAAACAAUAACUUUCCAUUUGAACUUUCAGUGAUUUGAACUCAGAGGUUGUGUGAGGUUUCCUUCAUGAGGAGAACAAACAGAAUAUAAACCAGUGUGUUUACAGUGAAUGUGUCAGGUCUGAGCUGCCGUGUGGACCAGUUAGAGAGCAGCAGCUGGAUCCCAGUGGUUGGACUGGUGGACGACUUCAGUGAGGAGUCGAUGACAUUUGGCUCUGGUAGAAACUCUGCACACACAAACACACAGGAGGAAAAAAAAUUAAAAGAAGAUAUCCAAAAGAUUUUCAAAUUAAAGGUUUCACAUACAUGUGCACAAUAGCUGUUUGAAAUACAUAUUUGGUGGCCUGAAACAGGCAGAGUCCAUAAUUACAGAGAAUCCAACGAUGACUUUCAUACCAGCUUUGAUGGAAGCUACGACUCCUGUCCCCCAUUAAUGUGACUGGAAAUGUCCUCAAACUGGGCAGCACUGGUGGAUCAUCUUUGUACGUCUGAUAAGAGAUGAAUGCAGAGUAAACAUGAGGCUGUAACUGAGGACAAUAACUGAUCAGUGUUAACUUAUUACUUUAUUCUGUCAUUAUUGUUCAUUACUGUCAGUUACAAUGACUGUAUGAAUUGUAAUGACACGACACUCGCAGUCACACAGGUCUGUUCAACAUCACAAACCGCUGGUUGUCCCUCUUCCUCUCCCUCACAGCUCGUCUUCCUCACUCUCAGGACUGUCCCUCUCUGUACUGCAACAGUGUCAGAAACCCACAUUUGAUUUUGUUGUUUAUUUAUCAUAUUUAAUUUUUCAUCUAAUGUCUUUUUGAUUAAUGUGUGAAUUAGGGUAAUUGAGGUCUAUCAAUGUCAAAAAUCUCACUGUAUGAUUUCAGUCAGUGUUUAAAUAAAUCCAACAGGAAAUGAGAUGUUUAUGUUAAAACAGUGGCAGUGUUUUCAAAUGAUGGCACAGUGAUUGUGCUUAGAAAUACUUUUUUUUUUUUUUUUUACAGGAAUAUUAUGUGAAAUACAUUUUUGAGAGAUCAAAAUGUUGUCAUUCAGGAGAAAAUCUUCCCUUUUAACAGGAUCCAUGAAAACAACCUGCUCUAGAUGAAACACCAGCACGAACAUUAACACACAAAUUCAGCAGGAAUCCCCUGAAUGUAUCUUCAUAUUUCACAAUACUCGCAGAAAGGGAGGAGUCUAUGACUGUAUCAUCACUCGUCAUUAGUUCUGGGCAAGCGCUCCAAGCCGGUCUGGAACUUUUCACUUCAACUUUUGUACCACUCCGAUCUGAUCAGGACCCAAAAACUGCACGUAAUGGAUGUAACAUCAGUCUGCAGGAAUCUACUGGUUGUCCUUUUUUCUUGAUCGUGACUGCAGAUGCAGAUGCGGUACCUUUUAAAGACAGUCUGGCGCGUUGGCAAUGAGCGAUACAGCAGCUGGAUCGAUCACGUGACUUUGUCUUAAAGCGACGCACGCUUCGAGACAGGCUUCGCUCUGUGAGCUUGAUACAUGCGUCGGUGCGUCAGUGUUGCAGGACCCAUCACUAGUCGUGUGACCACAAAUUUUAAUAGAAGGAUUGAUCGACGGCGCGCAGGGAAACUAAUCAAUAUUACCAGAAAAACAUUAUAGCUCAGUCUGGACAGAACGUCACUCUGACAUGUCGAGCUCCAAACAACAUCAUAGUUGUAAAAUGGAUCAGAGCUGAUCUGAAGUCAGGUUAUGUCCCUUUUUUUCCCCCAGGAUGAUCUGUUUGUUCCAGCCAACCAGCAUCAGACAGACUGUGAACGCUUACAGGCAAACAUCACACUCAUGAUCAGUGAUUCAUUUUUCUCUGAACUAUAAAUUAAAUACAUUUUACUUCAUGUAGUUGUUUGUUCUGAGUCACUUUAUAAGACCCUUUCUGACCUGUACAGUCUGUUGAUGGUGUUUGUCUCCUGCACUGUAAGUAAAGUUUCUUGACAUGAAUGUUGUUUCCUGUUGCUUCAUGAGUAAAACAGAACUGAAACAUAAUGUGAGCUGGAAUCAAUCCAUAGUUGGUUUGUGGUCAUUUUUCUUGCUUUUCACCACAAAAAAUGACCACACCGACCAGCCAAUCGGUGACAUCAGUUUACUACCUGCUCAGAUCGCUUGGAAACCCGGCCUAGCAGGUACUAAAAAAAUACCUGGUACCAGGUACUGAUGACCAUUCACACUCACAUUCACACCUCUGGGCGAUUGAGAAUCACCAGUGAACUUAACCCCACUGACUGCAUGUCUGUGGACUGUGGGAG